CUCAUAUUUGAAAUAGCUGUGCUGUAGUUACCUAUAUUUUCAGUAAGUUUAAUGUAGGGUGGACCACAUGGACAGCCCCUUAGUGGUCAAUGAAAAUAAGGUCAUUUUCUUCAGCGUCACUAGUGAUCUGUCACAACAUCACUCGUGAGUCUCCAUAUCCUCCUCUGUAGGUUUUUCUGUGUCCUACCAAACACACAUCAGUUUUCUCACAUGACAAUCUAUGUGUGGAGUUCACUUCACUGACGGAAGAAAGUGGAAAAUAUGUAUUUUUCUUUUAUUCUUCUCAUUUAUGUUGCCGGUGUUGCGGUAAAAGAAAGUUGUGCAGAUUUGGUUCCCACUCCCACUAUUCUAUUUUCCCCUGGGUACAUCAAUGUAGCUACACCUGUUACAAUACGCUGUGAGUCACCAAAAGGCACAGAGUGCAAAUUCUACAAAGAUCACGACCCCAACCCUAUAAGGAAACUGGAUUACAAGCAGGGUGCUUGCCAGUUCAAGUUGCUCUGGAAUGAGUUCAAAAGGUGGAACAAGACUGAAGUAGAUCUCAGCUGUGUAAUUGUACAGAACAGAGAAGGUGAAACGAUCAAAACCUCAAAACCUAGUGAUGCUCGAAGACUUAAUGUGGGUGAUCCAAUUGGAAAUCCCAGUGUUCAUGUGUUUAAGAUGGGGAAAUACCUCAAUCUUCGAUGUGAGGCCAAGGCUGGCACCUCUUGCUACUUUUAUCUGAACAUUGGUGACUCACACUUUAAAAAACUACCCUACAAAGACAAUGGCUGUUUGGGGAGAGUGGCAGAAGAGGAACUGCAGAGGAAGAGGAGCAGUGCUGGAGAGAUCUUCAUCACCUGUGCUGUGGAGCUGGUGGUAGAGGGUGAAGAUACUGUGACAUCACAGCAUAGUGAACCCCUCGGUAUCACCAUAGAUGUCAUAAAUCCUCCAGGAGCUACUAAUUCCACAUCAGCGUUCAGUUUAAUCACACCUGGUCAGGAGAAGACAAGCAACAGUGCCACACCCCAAGGAAGUGGUACAAAGUUCCACGUCGUCAUCAGUCUGGGUACUUGUUCCCUUUUCCUGGUUCUGCUAGCUGGGUGUGUGCUGGGUGUUCUCCAACGCAAGUGUGGGGUUCAAGGCAGGCCUGUAAAUACUGGAAGCCCACCUGAACAGCAAGACCAAAACCCACCAUGUGUCUAUUCUGUCAUCACAAAGCCUUCUAGGGAUGAGGAAGAGGACACUAGUCUGCAAUACGCUACAGUGACAUAUACCGGUGUCCAAGCUAGUCGUCAAUAUGCAACAGUGACAUCUACCGGUAACCAAGUUGAACCUGGGCGCACCAAGAUCAAGUUUGAAAUAGCUGGAGAGUACGCCCUCUUAGCAGAAUCAUAGAAGAAGAAACAUUUACUGGAUAACAUGUUUUGCCAUAGUUUACAGUUACAAUCCUAUAUUUAGUUUUCAUAUUGGAUCAUAAUUUACUCAUAGUACAAAAACAAAUCCUGCCACAACAUCAAAGACUAAAGAUACUGUAUCUACUCCUUUCUGAAAACAAGCAUCUUCAACUAUUUGCAUUUUAGGUUAAAUGAAAUAAAUGAAAAGUACACUGUCUGAAACAUAAAAUAAAUGUUUUCCUUAAUUGAGUUACCGAAUCUAGUCAGCAGUCACCAAUCAGUAGUCACCAAUCUAUUUCACUCCUUGACAAGAGUCAAUAUAGACUCAAAGCCACAAGAGGGUAGAACACAUGUCAAACUUUGCUUGUUACAUCUCUACAUCUCUCUCUUUAACCAUGUCUGGUGUAUAUUAGUUUUCAGUGGUGGAAAAAGUACUCAACAAACAUACUUAAGUAAAAGUAAAGAUACCUUCAUAGAAAAUGACUCAAGUAAUAGUAAAAAUCACCCAGUAAAAUUCUACUUGUGUAAAAGGCUACAAGUAUUUGAUUUAAAAUAUACUUCAGUAUCAAAAGUGAAUGUAUAACUCAUUUCAAAUUCCUUAUCUUAAGCAAACCAGAAUGCACCAUUUUCUUUUUAUUCUUCUUUUUUAUAGAAGGCCAGGGGCUCCAUCACUCAGCCAUCAGUUACAAACAAAUCAUGUCAGUUUAGUGAGUCCGCCAGAUCAGAGACAGUAGGGAUGACAAGGGAUGUUUGGUUGAUAAGUGUGUGAAUUUGACUAUGUUUCUGUCCUGCUAAGCAUUUAAAAUGUAAUGAGUACUUUCAGGUGUCAAGGAAAAUAUAUGGAGUAAAAAUUACAAUGUUUUCUUAAGCAAUGUAGUGAACUAAAAGUAAAAGAAG
ensembl:lncRNA